rnacentral:lncRNA from 1 species
CUCUUUCACAGGGGACUGGAUGGGGCCGUAACACAUCGAACAGCUGUACCUCCUCUGAAAAGCCAUUUCAGGUGAACCAAAGCAUUCUGCCCCUACGAGGAAGAAAGGGAGGCAGUGAGGAGAGAAUCAGGCCCAAAGAGCUGGGCCCAAGUGACAUUUAUAAAUAGGAACAUGGAAACUCACGGAAGAAGCCAAGCAAGACAUUUUUUUCCCUCUACAUGUGUCAGCACUUCCCAGAUGUGAUGAUGGUAUUUGAAAGAGCAUGAUCUGGAAAUCCUGAGCCGUGCUGCCACAAGAAAAUGGAUGCACAGAGGACAAGGCCAGGCAGCGCAGGUCUUCAUUACACUGAGACUUUGCCUGAGUCCCAUGGUGCCCCAGUGCCCUGGCCUGGGCACAUCAGCACUGCCUUCUGUCCAGGCCCCAUGAGUCUCAGAUGGUGGACCCUGGUGACGGAAGGCUGGGUAGAUGCCAUGGACCUUUCCAUAGGUCAUAGCCACAGCUGAGCACUUGGUGUCUUACUACUCAGUGGAGAGGAGAAGUGUGCUGAAGGGUGGUAAGAGAGUGUGUCCAGGGGCCCAGACCAGAGUGGGCCAUGCCUCAUCUAGAGAGCAAGCAUCUUCCAGAAAGGAGAGCCCUUGGGUCCUUUUACAGAAGCAAUCAGAAAAACAUCGGGAAUCUCCCAGAAGACUGAAUGUAAGAGGACGAAGGGUCCGGGCACAGUGGCUCAUUCCUGUAAUCCCAGAACUUUGGGAGACUGAGGUGAGUGGAUCACUUGAGGUCAGGAGUUCGAGACCAGCCUGAACAACAUGGUGAAACCCCAUCUCUACUAAAAAUACAAUAUUAGCUGGGCAUAGUGGCGCAUGCCUGUAAUCCCAGCUACUCAGGAGGCUGAGGCAGGAGAAUCGCUUGAACCCAGGAGGAGGAGGUUGCAGUGAGCCGAGAUUGCAUCACCGCAUUCCAGCCUGGGCAACAAAGCAAGACUUCAUCACACACACACACACACACACACACACACACACACACACACAAACGAAACAACAACAACAACAAAACCAAAAAAAAAGAAAAAGAAAAGUCAGGUCUGGGGAGCUGAAGUGGCUGACAGAGGAGGAGGAGAAUUAUCUGCAGUGCUUCCCAAAUUCAGGACACUCACCCAGUGCAUCUCAAAGCCUGAGUCCUCAUAUCUCUUCUGGGGAAAGGAGAGAAAGAAUUGCUGGUGGAUUCUGCUGUGUUUUGCCUUGAGGUCAUUAUGGGCAAAAUUUCACACCUAUAAGGCCCAUUGCUGAGGAGGGAGUGGACCUCUGUGAUUCCUCUUGAGCAAAGGAAUAAACAUCCUAAGUUUGUGAGUAAAGCGUCCAUCACAUUCUCUGGAGCCAUCACUGCUGUUUGGAGAGGUGGGAGUUGAGAGAGGCCAUUACUGGGCAGAACCUGAGUUUUCACUUGAAGAUUCGUCCCUUAUGAAUCCAGCCCCUAGAAAACAGAGCAGCCAGCAGGCCUGUGACAUUUCAGUUUGGCUAUAAAAACUACAGGUUAAUAAUAAAACUCUUUUCUGGUUUUAAAAUUAUAUUCACGUGCAUCAGCUCACAUUUCUGAAAAAGCACUUAGGACAGCACCUGAGGCAACUUAAGCAUCAUAUAAAUGUUGGUUUUGUGGUCAUUCUUGUUUUAUAAUUAUUAUUAUUUGUAUCCUCACCCUGGUAGGCAGACAAGGCCAUAGUCAAUAUUAUAGUCGUUUUAUGGAUAAUAAAAAAUGGGAGAGGAAUUAAGUAACCUAUUUAAAUUCAUAUAAUAAACAAAUGGCAGAGCCAGGACUUGAAGCCAGGUUUUUAGGCUGCACAUCUCAGCUUUAACAAAUGACAGAACACCUGCUCUCACAUGUGGCUUUAUUUGUCACCUAACCACCCUCUUAGGCAGGUAGGCACUGGGGGCAGUGCUCAUGAGCUAGGCUUUUCAGCAAGAACCAGACAUGGAUAUGUAUUGGUUCUGUCACUUACCAGCCCUGUGACCUGGAGCUGGUUUUUUAACCUCUCUGGGCCCCACAAUUUUCACUGGUAGAUGGAGUAACAGUAGUGCUGACAUCCAGGGCUGUGGAUGAGGAUUGGGGAAGAUAUUUUGAUAUGAGUCUAGUGCUCAGCACACAAUGGCAGUGAUUAUAAUCACAAUAUGGUCAUUUUUCAGAUGAGAAAACUAGCUCAGAGAACAAAUGUGAUUUUCUAAAGAUUUGGGUUUCCUUGCUCCUAAUUCCUAGUUCCUGCCACCACUGAAAUCAGGACCGUAGAUGUUGCUCUCAGCAUGACCAUUAGUUUAGACAGCUGUAGGUAAUCAGAGCCAAGCAAUGCCCUCCCAAAUACAACAAUCACACACAGAAAAACAUGGAACCCUUCUGCAGAUGCCUUCCUUCACUAGCCCUAACCUCACUCUAGUGUCAUCUUUAUUUGGUUCAAGCCCUACCCAGUAUUUCUGUCUUCACCUGGAUUUAAAUGCUCCUGUGAUCACACAUAAGCUUUCAUGCAUCUAUGUCUCGUUUCUAUAAUCAUUACAGUGUAAGUGAACAUAUAAUAGCUGCUUCUUCAGACCACACUUCCUCUCGGCAGUGCCUACCACAAUCAUGGUAGGUAUUGACUCUAUGUCUAGUGGCCCCACCUUUCCUCUGUAGCCCAAGCCACAUAUCUUUGUUGCUUCCUUUUACUUCUUUGCUAGUCACAGUUUGUAGUUGCAGACAACAGAGUCCAUUUCCAUUUCUGAAAGAAAGAUUUUUCCUUCUUUUUUCUUCUUCUCUCUCUUUUCUUCUCACUCACAGAAUUAUUCGAAGGGUAGACAUCUGAGCUCUAGACUAAGCUCCCAGGUCCACAUGUAGAUUUGUCCCAUUCACGUCGAUGCAGUUGUCCCUGAGAUGAGAAACCACACAGCUUUUGCCGUCCCCUGUACCAGCAAAAUGGAUGCCCCCUGUCCAGCCUGUGUCCCUGCAUAGGUUACUUCUGGAUGGAAUUCUCAUACUGGUGCAUCUGGCUAGUUGAAUCAGGCACAUUUCUGCCCCCAAGCUGUGAGGGAGGCUGGGAAAUGUAGGUUUUGUUUCUGCUCUGGGAAGGCAAGGGUAACACUGAUGGAAACUAUCCACGAGUUAAUGGAGCAUUUAAAGUAUUUGGGGGACACAGAGCAAAGACAAGGUGUAUAAUCCAUCUUCAGCAUCCACAUGUAAUUGGUAAGCAAAUUUCAGCAGUUCUAAAUAUGAACACUUCUGGGAUUCAUCUACUUCUCUCUACCCCACUGCAGUCCUUUGGCUCAGUGCUUCUCACAUGGACAAUGGCAACAGCUUGUAAGUAGUCUCUCUGGCUCAGUCCCCUUUCUGCCCUAUCUCACGUAUGUUUUGUAGCCAGUGUUACUCCUUUGCUUAAAAUCCUCAAAGCUCCUGGUUGCUUUCAGAAGUGAGUUUAAACUUAUAAUUAUGGCUUUUAAAAUCCUUUGGAAUCUCAGGCCGGGGGUGGUGGCUCACGUCUGUAAUCCCAGCACUUUGGGAGGCUGAAGCGGGUGGAUCACC